rnacentral:sRNA from 2 species
CAAGGGAAACCGCAGCAGUCAGCAGCGGCAGGAGCGGGGGAACCAGGUAAGUGCCGCGCCGCACGGCGGCCGGCUUGGGGUGAAGUCAUGCCUCAUCGCGUCCAAAGCGCGACGGGACAUGACCGGGCAAGUCUUCUCGCCCGAAUCCGACAGCUCACCUCGCAGGCGCAGGAGAGGAUUC